UUCAACAUCAUCUUCACUAAGAAAUUCACUAAUACUUCCAGAACCACCACCACCCUUAAACUUCCCUCUUUCAACCACCUCCUCCUCAUCAUCAUCAUUAUCACUACUCAAUCCAAAUCUUCUCCUCGAAUUCGAAUUCAAAUAAGGUUUUUUCUUCCCAAAAUUAGAACCUGGACCUCUACUAACACUACUCUUCUGUGGCCGAAACCCACCGUCUCUAUCAACAGGUUCACGACCAGAACCCACUCUUUCAACCACCUCAUUAUCACCUCCAUCAUCAUCACUACUCAAUCCAAAUCUUCUAUUGGAAUUCGAAUUCAAAUUAGGUUUUCUCUUCACAAAAUUAGAACCUGAACCUCUACUAACACUACUCUUUCGUGGCCGAAACCCACCCUCUCUAUCACCCGUUUCACGACCAGAACUCACUCUCUGAGCAGGUUUCAUGGUCUCAGCUCGACCGGUUCGCAAAUCAU
rnacentral:lncRNA from 1 species